ACGGAAGGCAGCAGUGGGGAAUAUUGGGCAAUGGGCGCAAGCCUGACCCAGCAACGCCGCGUGAAGGAUGAAGGUCUUCGGAUUGUAAACUUCUUUGAUUGGGGAAGAAUAAAUGACCUACCCAAAGAACAAGUCACGGCUAACUACGUGCCAGCAGCCGCGGUAAUACGUAGGUGACAAGCGUUAUCCGGAUUUACUGGGUGUAAAGGGCGUGUAGGCGGUUCUGUAAGUCAGAAGUGAAAUUCCCGGGCUCAACCUGGGCGCUGCUUCUGAAACUACAGAACUUGAGUACUGGAGGGGAAAGCGGAAUUCCUAGUGUAGCGGUGAAAUGCGUAGAUAUUAGGAGGAACACCAGUGGCGAAGGCGGCUUGCUGGACGAUAACUGACGUUGAGGCUCGAAAGCGUGGGGAGCAAACAGGAUUAGAUACCCUGGUA
rnacentral:rRNA from 1 species